rnacentral:tRNA from 1 species
GGAGGGUUGGGGGAAUUGGUUGAACCCGGAUGUCUCGAAAACAUCUGAAUCGGCUAACACCCGGUUCUGUCAGUUCGAAUCUGACACCCUCUU